UCCCUGGUGGUCUAGUGGUUAAGGUUCAGUGCUUUCACCACUGCAGCCUGGGUUCAAUCCCUCCUCUGGGAA
rnacentral:tRNA from 1 species